GACGAACGCUGGCGGCGUGCUUAACACAUGCAAGUCGAACGAUGAAGCCUAGCUUGCUAGGUGGAUUAGUGGCGAACGGGUGAGUAAUACGUGAGUAACCUACCUUUAACUCUGGGAUAAGCCCGGGAAACUGGGUCUAAUACCGGAUACGACCAAUCUCCGCAUGGGGUGUUGGUGGAAAGCGUUAUGUAGUGGUUAUAGAUGGGCUCACGGCCUAUCAGCUUGUUGGUGAGGUAACGGCUCACCAAGGCGACGACGGGUAGCCGGCCUGAGAGGGUGACCGGCCACACUGGGACUGAGACACGGCCCAGACUCCUACGGGAGGCAGCAGUGGGGAAUAUUGCACAAUGGGCGCAAGCCUGGUGCAGCGACGCCGCGUGAGGGAUGACGGCCUUCGGGUUGUAAACCUCUGUUAGCAGGGAAGAAGAGAGAUUGACGGUACCUGCAGAGAAAGCGCCGGCUAACUACGUG
rnacentral:rRNA from 1 species